AACAGGCUUACUGUUCAAAAACACAGCAUUUGUAAGUAUAUAUCCAAAUCAUGCAGGAACUUCAUGUUAUAUAAGUAUAAUUCAUUACUAGCAAACAAAAUAUUACAAACGUAAUACACCUUAAAGCCCCAAAACUAGAAGACUCAACUGCAAAAAUUGUAGUUCCAAACCCGAGUUAUGGAAAUAUUAAAGCAUGAGAUUGACUUGAAGAAGAUAACUGAGAAUGAAACUAUAAAAAUCACUGUUCAGCCAAUUAUAGUGAAAUCACAAUGCCAAUCAAUAAGAAAGGUUCUUCUAUGUUUCUUGGACACAUUUAUAUUAUCCACCUUCAGCAUCUUGUUGCCAGAUCCAUAAGAGCUAGAAUUAUGAAAAUGCAGGUGAAUUUCUGGUAAAGCAAUUCUAGAAUUCAUUAUAUUGGGGGAAGCUGUGCUUUUCUAUAUUUUGUAUUAUUUUCUUCCUCUCGUUAUUUUUCCCUCAAGUGAUUCUUGAAUGUUUGCUUUCUCUCCCUGGCUGCAUCAGGCAAUGCAUACUUUGCUAGCAAUACAUUGUUUAGCUACUCUUUGUCUAUGGUCAAGACCAACAAAGGGCAUUUGACCACCAAAGUCAUAAAAGAAAAUUCUUUAUACUUUAUCUAGGUAAAUGAUGUAACAUAAUUGAACUCAUACACAAGCAUUUUUUAUCAAAGAGUGCAAUAAAAAGUUCAAAGAAACCACAAGAACUACAAACAGAUAAAAUAAAAACAUUUUAGACAAGUUUAGCAACAUUAACGGAAACCUCAUUUUAAAACAAUAAAUAGAACACUAAGCUAGCUUAGAACUAUGAGCAACAAUAGUAACAUGAAUGAGGCAUAGGGCAAUUGAAUCUUCCAUAAAGAAAUAAAUUAAUUAUCAACCUGACUUGUGCCUAGCAGCAAAACUAAAUGCCACAAAGCAUACACCAAAAAGAUUUCAUCAAACAACAUAUCACUUGGGUAGUUAAGAACGGUAUUGAACAAUUGCAACUUGGAACAUCAAAAAUUACACACUAUACAGUUCCCUAUAUUUAUGACAUGCAACAUAAAACAAAUCACAAACCUGUUAUAUAAUGAACUAACAAUA
rnacentral:misc_RNA from 1 species